rnacentral:rRNA from 1 species
GACGAACGCUGGCGGCGUGCUUAACACAUGCAAGUCGAACGGAAAGGCCCUGCUUUUGUGGGGUGCUCGAGUGGCGAACGGGUGAGUAACACGUGAGUAACCUGCCCUUGACUUUGGGAUAACUUCAGGAAACUGGGGCUAAUACCGGAUAGGAGCUCCUGCUGCAUGGUGGGGGUUGGAAAGUUUCGGCGGUUGGGGAUGGACUCGCGGCUUAUCAGCUUGUUGGUGGGGUAGUGGCUUACCAAGGCUUUGACGGGUAGCCGGCCUGAGAGGGUGACCGGCCACAUUGGGACUGAGAUACGGCCCAGACUCCUACGGGAGGCAGCAGUGGGGAAUAUUGCACAAUGGGCGGAAGCCUGAUGAAGCAACGCCGCGUGCGGGAUGACGGCCUUCGGGUUGUAAACCGCUUUCGCCUGUGACGAAGCGUGAGCGACGGUAAUGGGUAAAGAAGCACCGGCUAACUACGUG